AGCAGCCGCGGUAAUUCCAGCUCCAAUAGCGUAUAUUAAAGUUGUUGCAGUUAAAAAGCUCGUAGUUGAAUUUCGGGGUCUGUCCGUCGGUCGGGCUUCACGGUCCGUACUGGUGUGAUGGGUUCCUACCUUCUGAAUAACCGGCAUGCCAUUUAGUUGGUGCGCCGGGGAAGCAGAGCUAUUACCUUGAAAAAAUUAGAGUGCUUAAAGCAGGCUAGUGCUUGAAUAGAUUAGCAUGGAAUAAUAAAAUAGGACGGCAUGGUUCUAUUUUGUUGGUUUCUAGGAUCACCGUAAUGAUUAAUAGGGAUAGUUGGGGGCAUUAGUAUUCAAUUGUCAGAGGUGAAAUUCUUGGAUUUAUUGAAGACUAACUUCUGCGAAAGCAUUUGCCAAGGAUGUUUUCAUUAAUCAAGAACGAAAGUUAGGGGAUCGAAGACGAUCAGAUACCGUCGUAGUCUUAACCAUAAACUAUGCCGACUAGGGAUCGGACGAUGUUAAUUUUUAAUGACUCGUUCGGCGCCUU
rnacentral:rRNA from 1 species